UCGUAACAAGGUAACAGGUCUUCGGACGCUGACGAGUGGCGAACGGGUGAGUAAUACAUCGGAACGUGCCCAGUCGUGGGGGAUAACUACUCGAAAGAGUAGCUAAUACCGCAUACGAUCUGAGGAUGAAAGCGGGGGACCUUCGGGCCUCGCGCGAUUGGAGCGGCCGAUGGCAGAUUAGGUAGUUGGUGGGAUAAAAGCUUACCAAGCCGACGAUCUGUAGCUGGUCUGAGAGGAUGGCCAGCCACAUUGGGACUGAGAAACGGCCCAGACUCCUACGGGAGGCAGCAGUGGGGAAUUUUGGACAAUGGGCGAAAGCCUGAUCCAGCAAUGCCGCGUGCAGGAUGAAGGCCUUCGGGUUGUAAACUGCUUUUGUACGGAACGAAAAAGCUUCUCCUAAUACGAGAGGCCCAUGACGGUACCGUAAGAAUAAGCACCGGCUAACUACGUGCCAGCAGCCGCGGUAUAC
rnacentral:rRNA from 1 species